AAAACUAGAAUACUCAUUGAUGAUGUAAAAUUUUCUAAUCCCGAACAACCUUGACCCCAUGAACACAUUGAAUGAAUUAUACAUUUUUCUUGCAUCUUUUUUAGGAUAAUAAAUAAUAGUAUAUGGAAUCUUGUGACUUUGGAAAACUUUUAAAUGAUGAAUGUCAUAAAAAAUGUUUUGUGCGAAAACAAGGAUUAAAAGAUUUUUGUAUUCUAGAAAUGGACUUUUAUCCCUUAUACUUGGAGGUCUGGCUGGCUUGCUUGAGACUACAUCAUACGAAGAGAUAAAGACUAUUUGUUAUCAUCAUGAGCAGGUCGAAAAACUAUCUCUCGAAAUGGCUCUUAACCUUAAAUCCUAAAAUUAAGAGACCGUAAACCAGGUUGAAAAAUGUGUCACUCAAGUAUUCAGUUUUUGUCAAAUUGUGAUGAAGUUUCAACAAUUUGUAAAAGCAUCAAUGAGCAUUGUAACAGCAAAAUGAAGUUUCAACAAUUUGUAAAAGCAUCGAAGCAUCGUAACAGCAAAAAGGAAAUUAGUCAAAGCCUACACAUAAAUGGAAGACGGAGUAGGACCAAACUAGGACAGAAACUAGGACCAAAGUGAUUUGUUACUUGAUUUAAAUGCAUUUUAAUAACAUAAAAACAUAAUUAAA